GCGUUGUCCGGAUUUAUUGGGCGUAAAGCGCGCGCGGGUGGUUUCUUAAGUCUGAUGUGAAAGCCCACGGCUCAACCGUGGAGGGUCAUUGGAAACUGGGGAACUUGAGUACAGAAGAGGAUAGUGGAAUUCCAAGUGUAGCGGUGAAAUGCGUAGAGAUUUGGAGGAACACCAGUGGCGAAGGCGACUGUCUGGUCUGUAACUGACACUGAGGCGCGAAAGCGUG
rnacentral:rRNA from 1 species